GACGAACGCUGGCGGCGUGCUUAACACAUGCAAGUCGAACGAUGAAGCCAGCUUGCUGGUGGAUUCGUGGCGAACGGGUGAGUAACACGUGGGUGAUCUGCCCCACACUUUGGGAUAAGCCUGGUAAACUGGGUCUAAUACCGAAUAUGACCGAUACUCGCCUGGGUGUUGGGGGAAAGCUCCGGCGGUUGGGGAUGGGCCCGCGGCCUAUCAGCUUGUUGGUGGGGUAAUGGCCUACCAAGGCGACGACGGGUAGCCGGCCUGAGAGGGCGACCGGCCACACUGGGACUGAGACACGGCCCAGACUCCUACGGGAGGCAGCAGUGGGGAAUAUUGCACAAUGGGCGGAAGCCUGAUGCAGCGACGCCGCGUGAGGGAUGACGGCCUUCGGGUUGUAAACCUCUUUCACCAGGGACGAAGCGAAAGUGACGGUACCGGGAGAAGAAGCACCGGCCAACUACGUG
rnacentral:rRNA from 1 species